rnacentral:rRNA from 1 species
UACGAAGGGGGCUAGCGUUGUUCGGAAUUACUGGGCGUAAAGCGCACGUAGGCGGACAUUUAAGUCAGGGGUGAAAUCCCGGGGCUCAACCCCGGAACGGCCUUUGAUACUGGGUGUCUUGAGUUCGGAAGAGGUGAGUGGAAUUCCGGGUGUAGCGGUGGAAUGCGUAGAGAUGCGGAGGAACACCGAUGGCGAAGGCAGCCCCCCUGGGCUAGCACUGACGCUCAGGCACGAAAGCGUGGGGAGCAAACAGGG